rnacentral:rRNA from 1 species
AUUGAACGCUGGCGGCAGGCCUAACACAUGCAAGUCGAGCGGGAACUUCGGUUCUAGCGGCGGACGGGUGAGUAAUGCGUAGGAAGCUACCCGACAGAGGGGGAUACCAGUUGGAAACGACUGUUAAUACCGCAUAAUGUCUACGGACCAAAGUGUGGGACCUUCGGGCCACAUGCUGUCGGAUGCGCCUACGUGGGAUUAGCUAGUUGGUGAGGUAAUGGCUCACCAAGGCGACGAUCCCUAGCUGGUUUGAGAGGAUGAUCAGCCACACUGGAACUCAGACACGAUCCAGACUCCAACGGGAGGCAGCAGUCGGGAAUAUUGGACAAUGGGCGAAAGCCUGAUUCAGCCAUGCGGCGUGUGUGAAGAAGGCCUUCGGGUUGUAAAGCACUUUCAGUAGGGAGGAAGAGUUGAGUGUUAAUAGUACUCAGCUUUGACGUUACCUACAGAAGAAGCACCGGCUAACUCUGUGCCAGCCGCCGCCGUAACAC